GAUGAACGCUGGCGGCGUGCCUAAUACAUGCAAGUCGAGCGAACAGACGAGGAGCUUGCUCCUCUGACGUUAGCGGCGGACGGGUGAGUAACACGUGGAUAACCUACCUAUAAGACUGGGAUAACUUCGGGAAACCGGAGCUAAUACCGGAUAACAUGUUGAACCGCAUGGUUCAACAGUGAAAGACGGUCUUGCUGUCACUUAUAGAUGGAUCCGCGCCGCAUUAGCUAGUUGGUAAGUUAACGGCUUACCAAGGCAACGAUGCGUAGCCGACCUGAGAGAGUGAUCGGCCACACUGGAACUGAGACACGGUCCAGACUACUACGGGAGGCAGCAGUAGGGAAUCUUCCGCAAUGGGCGAAAGCCUGACGGAGCAACGCCGCGUGAGUGAAGAAGGUCUUCGGAUCGUAAAACUCUGUUAUUAGGGAAGAACAAAUGUGUAAGUAACUAUGCACGUCUUGACGGUACCUAAUCAGAAAGCCACGGCUAACUACGUG
rnacentral:rRNA from 1 species